GACGUAGGGCGCGAGCGUUGUCCGGAUUUAUUGGGCGUAAAGAGCUCGUAGGCGUCUUGUCGCGUCGAAUGUGAAAACCCACAGCUCAACUGUGGGCUUGCAUUCGAUACGGGCAGACUAGAGUGUGGUAGGGGAGAUCGGAAUUCCUGGUGUAGCGGUGAAAUGCGCAGAUAUCAGGAGGAACACCGGUGGCGAAGGCGGAUCUCUGGGCCAUUACUGACGCUGAGGAGCGAAAGCGUGGGGAGCGAACAGG
rnacentral:rRNA from 1 species